GAUGAACGCUGGCGGCGUGCCUAAUACAUGCAAGUCGAGCGAACAGACGAGGAGCUUGCUCCUCUGACGUUAGCGGCGGACGGGUGAGUAACACGUGGAUAACCUACCUAUAAGACUGGGAUAACUUCGGGAAACCGGAGCUAAUACCGGAUAAUAUAUUGAACCGCAUGGUUCAAUAGUGAAAGACGGUUUUGCUGUCACUUAUAGAUGGAUCCGCGCCGCAUUAGCUAGUUGGUAAGGUAACGGCUUACCAAGGCAACGAUGCGUAGCCGACCUGAGAGGGUGAUCGGCCACACUGGAACUGAGACACGGUCCAGACUCCUACGGGAGGCAGCAGUAGGGAAUCUUCCGCAUUGGGCGAAAGCCUGACGGAGCAACGCCGCGUGAGUGAUGAAGGUCUUCGGAUCGUAAAACUCUGUUAUUAGGGAAGAACAAAUGUGUAAGUAACUAUGCACGUCUUGACGGUACCUAAUCAGAAAGCCACGGCUAACUACGUG
rnacentral:rRNA from 1 species